GUUGCAGGAGCCUUAAUUGUGACUUUGUACAAAGGCCAGCCACUGACAGGUGUUCCAUCACAAAAUAACCUAAUUCAUGAGUCCCUGCAACUGUUCCCAUCGAACUGGGUUUUUGGAGGAAUUCUCUGUGCAGCUGGAACAUUGUGCUUAGCUCUAUUAUUCAUUGUCCAGACUUGGAUUCUUACGGACUACCCUUCAGAGUUGAUGAU
rnacentral:misc_RNA from 1 species